GACGAACGCUGGCGGCGUGCUUAACACAUGCAAGUCGAACGGAAAGGCCCUGCUUUUGUGGGGUGCUCGAGUGGCGAACGGGUGAGUAACACGUGAGUAACCUGCCCUUGACUUUGGGAUAACUUCAGGAAACUGGGGCUAAUACCGGAUAGGAGCUCCUGCUGCAUGGUGGGGGUUGGAAAGUUUCGGCGGUUGGGGAUGGACUCGCGGCUUAUCAGCUUGUUGGUGGGGUAGUGGCUUACCAAGGCUUUGACGGGUAGCCGGCCUGAGAGGGUGACCGGCCACAUUGGGACUGCGAGACGGCCCAGACUCCUACGGGAGGCAGCAGUGGGGAAUAUUGCACAAUGGGCGGAAGCCUGAUGCAGCAACGCCGCGUGCGGGAUGCCGGCCUUCGGGUUGUAAACCGCUUUCGCCUGUGACGAAGAGUGAGUGACGGUAAUGGGUAAAGAAGCAACGGCUAACUACGUG
rnacentral:rRNA from 1 species